GAUGAACGCUGGCGGCGUGCCUAAUACAUGCAAGUCGAGCGAACGGACGAGAAGCUUGCUUCUCUGAUGUUAGCGGCGGACGGGUGAGUAACACGUGGAUAACCUACCUAUAAGACUGGGAUAACUUCGGGAAACCGGAGCUAAUACCGGAUAAUAUUUUGAACCGCAUGGUUCAAAAGUGAAAGACGGUCUUGCUGUCACUUAUAGAUGGAUCCGCGCUGCAUUAGCUAGUUGGUAAGGUAACGGCUUACCAAGGCAACGAUGCAUAGCCGACCUGAGAGGGUGAUCGGCCAGACUGGAACUGAGACACGGCCCAGACUCCUACGGGAGGCAGCAGUAGGGAAUCUUCCGCAAUGGGCGAAAGCCUGACGGAGCAACGCCGCGUGAGUGAUGAAGGUCUUCGGAUCGUAAAACUCUGUUAUUAGGGAAGAACAUAUGUGUAAGUAACUGUGCACAUCUUGACGGUACCUAAUCAGAAAGCCACGGCUAACUACGUG
rnacentral:rRNA from 1 species